UACGUAGGGGGCAAGCGUUGUCCGGAUUUAUUGGGCGUAAAGAGCGUGUAGGCGGCCAGGUAGGUCUGCUGUGAAAACUCGGGGCUUAACCCCGGGCCUGCAGUGGGUACGGGCAGACUAGAGUGCGGUAGGGGAGACUGGAAUUCCUGGUGUAGCGGUGAAAUGCGCAGAUAUCAGGAGGAACACCGGUGGCGAAGGCGGGUCUCUGGGCCGUAACUGACGCUGGAGGAGCGAAAGCGUGGGGAGCGAACAGG
rnacentral:rRNA from 1 species